UAUAACCUCCUGAUGCCCACGGUCCUUCUGUGAGUACUUAACGAGUAUAGUUGUUACUGCCCAAGCUAUAACAUAUUUUUUCUGGACUAAAUGCCCACGGUCCUUCUCCGAGGACGAAUACUUUAUGUUUGAACCAUAUUUGAAUUUACCGCCAUUAUUUUUUGGGAUUGCAUCAAUGGAUUUAACAUUCCAUCACUGACAGCUGUCUUAAGUGUCAUCUGAGGAUAAUCAAUCGUUCAUUGUAAAAACGUCAAAAAACGGAACCAUGGCGGGGCCACCGUCGACUAAAAUAUAAUGCGAAAUCCAAGAAAUUGAAGCAGAUUUAGCUAUGUCGGACAUAGAUCUCUCGGAGGACGAUGACAUGACGACAUAAAUGACUCUCCAUGAACCCGUAGAAUUUGAAUUUUGUGAUGAUGAUAUCCAGGAGCUGCUAGCUGAGCCUUUCAUUUUAUCUUAAUUUGUUCCUAUAUUGAUUCCAAUAAUUAUAAUAGUUGAUAAGUGUAAGAGUUUAUCUAGAAUAAAUAUAAGUUCUAAACUUAUGUGAGACUGAUUUAAAGUGUUAAAUGUGUUCCUAAGUGGUUCUUAUUUCA